CACUCUAGAGAGACUGCCAGGGAUAACCUGGAGGAAGGUGGGGAUGACGUCAAAUCAUCAUGCCCCUUAUGCUUAGGGCUACACACGUGCUACAAUGGGUAGUACAGAGGGUUGCCAAGCCGUAAGGUGGAGCUAAUCCCUUAAAGCUACUCUCAGUGCGGAUUGUAGGCUGAAACUCGCCUACAUGAAGCUGGAGUUACUAGUAAUCGCAGAUCAGAAUGCUGCGGUGAAUGCGUUCCCGGGUCUUGUACACACCGCCCGUCACACCACGGGAGUUGGAGACGCCCGAAGCCGAUUAUCUAACCUUUUGGAAGAAGUCGUCGAAGGUGGAAUCAAUAACUGGGGUGAAGUCGUAACAAGGUAGCCGUAUCGGAAGGUGCGGCUGGAUCACCUCCUUUCUAAGGAGA
rnacentral:rRNA from 1 species